AAAGCAGAAGAGGGUAAAUGCG
rnacentral:siRNA from 1 species